AUUGAACGCUGGCGGCAGGCUUAACACAUGCAAGUCGAACGGUAACAGGCAGCAGCUUGCUUCUUUUCUGACGACUGGCGGAUGGGUGAGUAAUGUCUGGCAAACUGCCUGCUGUAGGGUGAUAACUACUGGCUACGGUAGCUACUACCUCAUAACGUCGCCUGCCCAAAAAGGGUGACCUUCGUGCCUCUUGCCAUCGUAUGUGCCCAGAUGGUCUUAGCUAGUAGGUGGGGUAACGUCUCCCCUAGGCGACGAUCUCUCGCUGGUCUGAGAGGAUGACAAGCCACACGGGAACUGAGACACGGACCAGAGGACUGAGGGAGGGAGCAGAGGGGAAUAUGGGACAAUGGGCGCAAGCAUGAUGCAGCCAUGCCGCGUGUAUGAAGAAGGCCGUCGGGUUGUAAAGUACGUUCAGCGGGGAGGAAGGGAGUAAAGUUAAGACCUAUGCUCAGUGACGUUACCCGCAGAAGAAGCACCGGCUAACUCCGUG
rnacentral:rRNA from 1 species